UUGCUGUGUCUUUUGGUUGUAAUCAAAAAUUGUUGUUGUUCACACGUGCCCGCUAUCUGUCAAAAUGUAAAGUUUUUCCUCAGUAGGCGGAAGAUCAAGCUCCGAGGUAAAUUUUGUUUUCGUUCCGUGCGGCGAGGCCAUACAUUUGAUUCUAUCCGUGGCUUGUUCUUUUGCCAUGAGCAAUGAUUCGCGAGAUUCGGAAAGGUAGUGCUCGAGAUUCGGGGUGAUUUUAAUGCCAUAAGCAACCAGGACUAAACAAUUAAGAAGCGGAAGCUGCCUCGACCAGAAGUUGCAAGGCGGAAAACCAACUCAGUUUAGCCGAUCGAAUGGAAAUCCCUAAAAUAUUAGCCUUCAACGAAACAAGCUUCACCUCUGUGGAAAACCUUAGGAUCUACCUGGAAGCCAGUGACAACAUGGCCGCCCAGCGCGGAAAGGCAACUUAGCAAACUUAUCGGCUGAGUUGUCAGCAACACCAGGUGCGGUUGAGGGCAGCGAAACAGAUUGUUCAAGAGCAGAUUAAAAUAUUUGAGAUCUUCAAUAAAAUUUUAAGAAUGAA